UACGAAGGGGGCUAGCGUUGCUCGGAAUCACUGGGCGUAAAGCGCACGUAGGCGGAUCUUUAAGUCAAGGGUGAAAUCCCAAGGCUCAACCUUGGAACUGCCUUUGAUACUGGGGAUCUCGAGUCCGGAAGAGGUUGGUGGAACUGCGAGUGUAGAGGUGAAAUUCGUAGAUAUUCGCAAGAACACCAGUGGCGAAGGCGGCCAACUGGUCCGGUACUGACGCUGAGGUGCGAAAGCGUGGGGAGCAAACAGG
rnacentral:rRNA from 1 species